rnacentral:rRNA from 1 species
UACGUAGGGGGCUAGCGUUGUCCGGAAUCAUUGGGCGUAAAGAGCGUGUAGGCGGCUCGGUAAGUCCGCUGUGAAAGUCCAGGGCUCAACCCUGGAAUGCCAGUGGAAACUGUUGAGCUAGAGUCCGGAAGAGGCGAGUGGAAUUCCUGGUGUAGCGGUGAAAUGCGCAGAUAUCAGGAGGAACACCAAUGGCGAAGGCAGCUCGCUGGGACGUGACUGACGCUGAGACGCGAAAGCGUGGGGAGCAAACAGG